CAGCCGCCACGGUAAUACGUAGGGUGCAAGCGUUAAUCGGAAUUACUGGGCGUAAAGCGUGCGUAGGCGGCUUCUUAAGUCGGAUGUGAAAUCCCUGAGCUUAACUUAGGAAUUGCAUUCGAUACUGGGAAGCUAGAGUAUGGGAGAGGAUGGUAGAAUUCCAGGUGUAGCGGUGAAAUGCGUAGAGAUCUGGAGGAAUACCGAUGGCGAAGGCAGCCAUCUGGCCUAAUACUGACGCUGAGGUACGAAAGCAUGGGGAGCAAACAGGAUUAGAUACCCCAGUAGUCCCUGUCUCUUAUAC
rnacentral:rRNA from 1 species